AAAGGCAUGUUAAAUUUAAAGGCCUCACACAGAAGGAAAAAAAAAUAUGCCCAUUUAAGUAACUCAGUCUGCUUUGCUGAUAGUAAAUUCAUUUGUCCAACAAAAAAUGCCUAUCUGAAAGCUCUGUAACCAGUUCCAAAAGGUGUAGCUCACAGGUAAAACCCACAAUCUGCUGACAGAAACAGCAGUUACAAUAUGAAGUAAAAAAAUUAUCUGUGCUGGCAUAUAUUUUUUUAGGUUGAUGUGCAAAACUGGAAUGUUUUGCUCAGGACUAAAGGCAGCUACAAAACUCGUGCCACUUUCUACUCCAGCAGAAGUCAGAGCUUUUCCUUGCCCUACUUCCAAACCCACAGGAGCCCACCAACAGCCUGGGACAGCACUGGGAGGGAUGUAGGAAGGUGGAGGCAGCCCUUGAGGAUGUCAAAAUGAACUCAACUGGAUAAUACCUUUGUCUUCUGUGGUGAUGAAUAUAAUAGAAUUGCACUGAAAGGGCAGAACUAGUGCAGCAGCAACACUUGGGGGAUAUCAGGACUGUGACAAAUGCCAUCCACUCUGUUCUCCAGCAUCAGCAAAGCCACUUAAGUUAUAGAGAAGUCUUCUGAUCAUCCAGCUAUGAAAAGCACCAUGACUGGUUCUGCCCAGAAGCUGCAUGAAUACAUGUGGAGCAGAAAAGUUGCUCUUUAUAGCCAGCUGUAAAAUUCUUUCAAGCCCUGUGAAUGUUCAAGCCUGAGAAGGCUUUUCUCACCAAGAUAUAGAUGAGUUUCAGCAUACCAGCCUUCAGCAGUGUGGGAGUCAAGAUUUCACUCCAAGCCUAUGCUUUACUGGUGAAACUCAAA